ensembl:snoRNA
GAGCAAUGAUGAAAAGGUUUUACCACUGACCUUUAUAACUGAAGGUUUCUACACUUGAUCUGAGCUCA